GAUGAACGCUGGCGGCGUGCCUAAUACAUGCAAGUCGAGCGAACGGACGAGAAGCUUGCUUCUCUGAUGUUAGCGGCGGACGGGUGAGUAACACGUGGAUAACCUACCUAUAAGACUGGGAUAACUUCGGGAAACCGGAGCUAAUACCGGAUAAUAUUUUUAACCGCAUGAUUCAAAAGUGAAAGACGGUCUUGCUGUCACUUAUAGAUGGAUCCGCGCUGCAUUAGCUAGUUGGUAAGGUAACGGCUUACCAAGGCAACGAUGCAUAGCCGACCUGAGAGGGUGAUCGGCCACACUGGAACUGAGACACGGUCCAGACUCCUACGGGAGGCAGCAGUAGGGAAUCUUCCGCAAUGGGCGAAAGCCUGACGGAGCAACGCCGCGUGAGUGAUGAAGGUCUUCGGAUCGUAAAACUCUGUUAUUAGGGAAGAACAUAUGUGUAAGUAACUGUGCACAUCUUGACGGUACCUAAUCAGAAAGCCACGGCUAACUACGUG
rnacentral:rRNA from 1 species